rnacentral:rRNA from 1 species
UACGGAGGGUGCAAGCGUUGCUCGGAAUUAUUGGGCGUAAAGGGUAGGUAGGUGGUCUCAUUUGUCUGGGGUGAAAGCCUUGAGCUUAACUCAAGAAGUGCCCCAGAAACGGUGAGACUGGAGUCCUGGAGAGGGUCGUGGAAUUCCCGGUGUAGCGGUGAAAUGCGUAGAGAUCGGAAGGAACACCGGUGGCGAAAGCGGCGCGCUGGAUCCCUACUGACGCUGAGGCAGCGAAAGCCAGGGGAGCAAACGGG